UACAGAGGUCUCAAGCGUUGUUCGGAUUCAUUGGGCGUAAAGAGCGUGUAGGCGGUCCGGUAAGUCCGCUGUGAAAGUCGGGGGCUCAACCCUCGAAUGCCGGUGGAUACUGUCGGGCUAGAGUUCUGGAGGGGGUAGCGGAAUUCCUGGUGUAGCGGUGAAAUGCGUAGAUAUCAGGAGGAACACCGGUGGCGAAGGCGGCUACCUGGACAGAAACUGACGCUGAGGCGCGAAAGCUAGGGGAGCAAACAGG
rnacentral:rRNA from 1 species